UAAAUGCUGAAACAGUACUACUCAACAUACCUUCUGUGAGUCAACUGUUAUGAGCAACACCUGGAUCUCAUUAGAAAUGCAGAAUACGAGGUCCCAUCCAAGACUCAGUGAGUAAGAAUUUCCAGAGUUGAGCCCAGGACUGUCUACCUGCUUUAACAAGCCCUCCAACAGAAUCUCCAUGUACUAGAUUUCGAGAUGUGCUAGGCUGAAGUAUGUGCAUCCUUCAGAAAUCAAAAUCUUCUGGAUUCAUUUUACAUUUAAUCGUCCUUCACUAUUUCCCUUUAGUACUAUCUCUACUAGAAAGUUCUUAGGAAAAAUAAUAAUUGUGUAAAAUGAUUGGAGUAUGGCAAAAAAACAUUGAACUUCAAGAUGGCAAAAAGCAGUUUCUUGUCCCAGUUCUUUUGUUGUCCUAUUAAAUGCUUCAUGAGAACACUUGUGCUUGAGUUUAUCUGUAACGUAUUAAUGAUGAUAUCAUAUGACUACCUGUCUGGAGCUGUCAACAGAAACAAAUGAGGUGGUCCACGUACGAACUUUUUGAAAGGUGAGUGUGCUGUAUAAUCCAAACAUUAACAUAAGGAACAAAUGUUUGUAGGACCUUUCAUACUGCACUCCCUUCUUACCUUUUUUUUUUUUUUUCUACAGGAACACACCUGCUAACAUUGUCACUAGUUGUUUAUCUUAUUAUCUAAUUCAAAUAUCACUUGCUCUUUAUGUUUUUAUAAACCUCCCAUCUCUCCUCCAAAGAGGAAUUAAUUUUUAUAUAUGUUCUCAGUAGAAUGGAUAACUUGUUAUAAUUCAUUUUAGGCCUUUUUUUGAUGCUUCUUGCAGAUAAACUCUGGCUUUUUCAUACUAACAGAUGCCUAACAAAGCACAGAAUGGGGCUUAAUAUAUGUUGUAUUGAGAUGAUCUCAGAUUUUCUUAAAUAACUUUUAAACACUUAACUGAUUUGCUACAUUUUUGUUAUUUGUACACACUCUGUGAUAUGUGAUUUUUAAAUUUAUGUAAACAUCAUCUAUACUUUCUUUACAGAAGGUAUGAAAUCGUGAAUACAUCACACCACCCAGAAAUCCCCCAUGGUGCGCUUUACAAUGCAACAGAACCUCAUAGUUCCCAUUGUAUACUCUUUCAAUUAUAAUAGAUGAAAUACUUGAAAAUGCUUGGUAGAAAUACCAUAGAAGUUAUAAUGACCUUUGCAACAAAAGGAGUAAAUCUAGUGGCAUUUUAGAGUUUUCUUAUAAUUGGAUGUUUUCUUUUUUUUUUUUUUUUUUUCUAUUUUGACCUUAGUUUCCCCAGUGUAUGCCAUUUUUAGGCUCCAAUAGUUCAGAGAAACUGCAAUUUCACUGAGACUUGACCUACAGAAUCAGAGAUUCAGGAUUCUAGUCACUUUGCUGAGAUGGAUCCAAGGUAUAGAAAGAAGUCAGAUGUCAGCCCAAAGGUCAGGCUGCAACAAAAGUGCUUACCUUGAAUGAUUUAGCUAUGAUAUGAGUUUACUCUGUAACAUAAGUAGCAUGGUUGGGCAGUGUUCAAGAACCUGGCUGUAUAAUGAAGAAAGGAGAAAAGACAGAAUUUAGCCCAAAUGUGAUGAAAGCCAAUUGACAUGAAGACAAUCAUCACGUUCAUCUUGGUCCAGUAAGAAUUUGAUAUUCACUCUGAUAGGAGAUUUGCAAUAUGACUCCAGUUAAGGUGGCAAUUUGAAACUCUCCUGCUUUGACUUCUGGAACUUGCUUCUGCCAAAUCAGUGGUGACUUUCAGGUAUAGGCCUAUGGCUGGAAACUAAAAUCAGAAGACUCCAACCUCCAGCUCUGAGAACCUACACUGAUAGCUCCAUCCAACUUCAACCACAAGUAGUGGGUCCAAAUCACAACACUCCAAUGAUGGAUUACACUGUCUCUGUCUUUUGCAGCACUUUGUUCAAAGAUAAAAGAUUCUCUGCAGUGGUGAUGAGGGCUAGUUCACUCAGCCCUUAGAUGCAGAUUCUGAGAGAUAGAGUACACAUAACUUUUAGAUAACAGGUGCUUUUAAAGAAAAUUUGAUUCUUUGAAAUUAAGUUAAGGUUUGUUUUAUAUAAUUUGCAGUCAAUUUUCAUAAAUCUCAUGUGUGUUUCAAAGAAAUGAGUAUUCUCUAUUUGUUGCCUUUAGGAAUCUAUGUAUCUUCAUUAUAUCAUGACUGUUAAUUGUUUUUCACAUGUUCUAUACCCUUCCUAAUGCUUUGUCUGCUUGAUCUAUCAAUUACCAGAAUAGGUAUUGCAGUCUGCCCCUCUGAAUUCAUAUCACAUGCAUAUAAAUUUUAAGUUACUAAACUUCCCUCCGUGAAAUCAAGCUCUUAUCAUUGUGUAGUUACCUUCUUUAUCUUGAAUAAUUAUUCUAAUUUAAGGUCGAUUUUCCCUGAUAAUAAUAUAAGUAAACCAACUUUCUUUUGGUUAGCAUUUGCCUGAUUUAUCUUAGUCCAUCUUUUUACUUUCUAUUUUCCUGUAACUUUCCUUAUAUUCCUUAGGUAUUCUGACCACGUGUGUCUUUUGGCUAAUGAAUUUAUUCCAUUUAUAAUUUAUUUAUGUUUCUUUAUAUGCAUUUAUAUGUAUAUAUAAUAUAUAUGUAUUUCUUCCAUAUAGUUAUUUACUUUUUGUUACUUUUUA
rnacentral:lncRNA from 10 species